rnacentral:rRNA from 1 species
CCUACGGGCGGCUGCAGUGAGGAAUAUUGGUCAAUGGACGAGAGUCUGAACCAGCCAAGUAGCGUGAAGGAUGACUGCCCUAUGGGUUGUAAACUUCUUUUAUAUGGGAAUAAAAUGUUCCACGUGUGGGAUUUUGUAUGUACCAUAUGAAUAAGGAUCGGCUAACUCCGUGCCAGCAGCCGCGGUAAUACGGAGGAUCCGAGUGUUAUCCGGAUUUAUUGGGUUUAAAGGGAGCGUAGGUGGAUUGUUAAGUCAGUUGUGAAAGUUUGCGGCUCAACCGUAAAAUUGCAGUUGAAACUGGCAGUCUUGAGUACAGUAGAGGUGGGCGGAAUUCGUGGUGUAGCGGUGAAAUGCUUAGAUAUCACGAAGAACUCCGAUUGCGAAGGCAGUUCACUGGACUGCAACUGACACUGAGGCUCGAAAGUGUGGGUAUCAAACAGGAUUAGAUACCCUAGUAGUC